GACGAACGCUGGCGGCGCGCCUAACACAUGCAAGUCGAACGAGAGAUGAAGAGCUUGCUCUUCAAAUCGAGUGGCGAACGGGUGAGUAACGCGUGAGGAACCUGCCUCAAAGAGGGGGACAACAGUUGGAAACGACUGCUAAUACCGCAUAAGCCCACGGCUCGGCAUCGAGCAGAGGGAAAAGGAGCAAUCCGCUUUGAGAUGGCCUCGCGUCCGAUUAGCUAGUUGGUGAGGUAACGGCCCACCAAGGCGACGAUCGGUAGCCGGACUGAGAGGUUGAUCGGCCACAUUGGGACUGAGACACGGCCCAGACUCCUACGGGAGGCAGCAGUGGGGGAUAUUGGACAAUGGGGGAAACCCUGAUCCAGCGAUGCCGCGUGAGGGAAGAAGGUUUUCGGAUUGUAAACCUCUGUGGACAGGGACGAUAAUGACGGUACCUGUUUAGAAGCCACGGCUAACUACGUG
rnacentral:rRNA from 1 species